CAGGCCUAGAGGCAUUUCACAGCCUACUCAUAAGAUUCGCUCCGAAAUCUGUGGGGUUCUGUGCUAGAGUGAUGAGAAGCAGGGUGUAUCUCGCCAUUCUUCACUUUAACGAGAACUCAGACAGACAGCAUGCACUGACCGAAGAUGGGGAGUUCAGGUAUCGAGUGAAAGCAUCGAAAGUUCACAAAGGGGAACACGUUGCACUGCCCAUCAAAGAGGAGCCAACAUUUCAUUACUACAAUCAACUUGUUGACAAGUGUGUGGAGCUAUGCAACACAUGGGCUACAUUCCCCGAGGCAUUCAAAGCAUACUCUGGUGACGACCCUCCAUUCUUAAGCCAAACAAACCCUGCCCCAGACAAGCGAGAACUCAUUUACGCAAGACAACGUAGGUUGGGACCUUGCAGCUGCCUCCAGUGUACAGAGUAGCAUGCAUAUGAUCUAAAGCCCCUGUAGCUGCCAGAUCGUGAAGGGAAGGCCUUUCGUAUCGCCGUUACCACGCAUGAUGGAAGCACUCGUCUAUCCUCCGGAGGAAGAGGCCCCCAUGUCCAGGAAGUGAAAUGACGAUAUGCUAUGUGACGCAGUAUCCUGAAAACAAAGAGAAA